GACGAACGCUGGCUGCGUGCCUAAUACAUGCAAGUCGAACGCAGUGGGGACGGGUGAUUAACACGUGGGUAACCUCCCAUCAGAGGGGAUAACACUUGGAAACAGGUGCUAAACCGAUACUGAUUGAUGGACCCGCGGUGCAUUAGCUAGGUGGUGAGGUAACGGCUCACCAAGGCCAAGAUGCAUAGGCGGCAUGAGAGGGUGAUAGGCCACACUGGAACUGAAACACGGCCCAGACUCCGACGGGAGGCAGCAGUAGGGAAGCUUCGGAAAUGGACGAAAGUCUGACCGAGCAACGCCGCGUGAGGGAAGAAGGUUUUCGGAUCGUAAAAAUCUGUUGGUAGAGAAGCGGUAUCUAACCAGAAAGCCACGGCUAACUACGUGCCAGCAGCCGCGGUAAUAC
rnacentral:rRNA from 1 species